CACAAAUUUGAAAAUUAAAAAAAAAAUGAUAAUAAGAAUCCAAACUUAACAAAAAUUGAGCAAAUAAAAUAGUGAUAAAAUCCCUAUUAUUUUCCCAACAGAACUUCCAAUCAUUUCUGCGUGUUUGAACUGAGCUUUAUACCCUUCUUGGGGUUGACCAGAGUGCCUUGAUUACUGAUAAUCACAUUGGCUCCGACCAAGAUCCUAUGCCUCUUAGUUUGCCAUGCCAUAAUCUUGUACCUCACCGAAGUCGCCAUAUCUACCCGGAAAACCGCCGACCCAUUAGAAACAGCCAGCGAAACCGCUUCCCAGUCAAGUCCCCUGGCGUUAAAACUACCAUUCUUCGUUGCCUUCUUCUUAUGCCCUUGAUAAAAAUUGGGGAUGGUGAAAUUCCCUAUGAAGUGAGUCUUGUUUGGGCUGUCAAAAAAUGUUACAUUUACGGGAUCGUAAUAGACACCCUUGUCCUUGUUGGUGUUCUCUAGUCUGAGCUGAAAGAAGA
rnacentral:misc_RNA from 1 species